GUUGUAUGAGUAGUUUUGCUAAUGUAUUCAUGUGUAAGAUAUUCGUAAGGAUAUUUCAUGUGAAAGUGGUGGCUCACCAUUUAAAUACCGUACGGGACGAUCGCAUAAAGACCAUCUGCUGGAGAAGUCCAACGAUUUACCAUCAAAGUGUGACCAGAAAUGUGCGGCAUGCGUAUCUAGAUCCAGAGCAGUCGUUACUGAUAUUACGAUCAAGCACCAUUUCUUUGAUCAUCGAAAAGGGAGUUAAAAGAAAGGCGGGACCGUUGAUACGGACAGAAACUCUCUACAAAAAGGCGCCAUUGUUGUUAGGUGGGGAAAACCUAGAAGAAAUGAAUCCAAAAUGCUGGUUACUUCUAAAAUGGGCUUGACAGACGUCAUCUAACUUUCAUUGUGUUUUGUGUACUAUAUUAGAACAGCAAAACGGAGAAUUCGAAUGUAAAUAAUAUAGAUUAUAUACCAGCUAAUGAUAUAUACAUUUAAAUGUAAAUACGUAUAAGAACAUUUACCAACUGCAUGUGCAUUUUUUUCUACAUAUUGUAUACGUAUCCCAUGCGUCAGUGGCGUUUGUGGAUACGCAUCUUAUUGUUUAACUUGUUGUAAGUGUUA